AUUACAUUGUUAUUACAUUAAUACAUUAUUACAUUGUAUUAUAACAUUAUUACAUUGUUAUUACAUUAAUACAUUAUUACAUUAUUAAAUUAUUACCACAGAAUAUAAUUAGGUAUGCAAUAUGAAAUUAUUUCGGUGCAAAAGCAAAGUUAAAAGGUAAAGUUAAAGUUAAACUGUAAAUUUACAGCUAAACGGCACAUAACAGGUGGCGAAGAGCCGAUGGUGAUACAGACGUACAGCGCAUGAAAUAAGUGAGGCAAACCUACAGUAACGUGGUACAAACGACAAUGGAGGAUAUUAUGAUAAACGGUUUCAGCAUCCUGACCGGACACAAUAGUAUCAGCGAACACGGGAGUGAGAUAACGAACCAUAGCAACAAAACAAUAGCUUGAAGAAUUUCUUCGUCCGGCGCCAAAACGAACGAUGCGGAUUCUGGAGCUACUCUGGAGCAUCGCCAUCUAAAUUUGGACGCACGAGGAUAUUCGGCGUAGAUACCCACAGCCUACCCUCUAGUGAAAUCUUGGAAUCAGACGAUUCAGGUCUCCGUACAUCGCUGGUGACCUGCAUAAACUUUAGAUUUGGCAUUGAUCGCCACCAAAAAUUAGAACAAAUUCGAUAAAGGUUUAUACUAUAAUAAGAAGAAAUCAUCAAGAGAAUUUUUCGGAAAACGAAAAGAAAAUUAUAUGCUGUUUCCGGCAGGCAGGCAAAUCGUCAACAAUUGUGAUAAACUUUCGUUAUUAAUAUUUAAUAAUAUCAAUAUAAAUAUAAUAUACAAUAUCCUAGGCUGACAAAUCGUCUCCACACGUUUUUCGUAUAAGCUUAGGAUUCUUUAAAAUUCAAAACGAACAAUAUUAAUUUCCACGGCGUGGCUGGGGCUAUGUAGACCAGGGGUGGCCAACUUUAAUAGACUUACGAUCGACCAAAAAAAAAAAAGGUUGUCGAUGAACAAAAAAUAUAUUAUGUAUAUAUGUGUCAUGCGUGUUACACUUCUUUUAUUACUUUUUAUUACCAAUAUAAAUUCAUCAAACUAAAAUAUGUUAUAACUUGAAGCGCAAUACUAGAAUAAGAUAAAAUUAAUACUAGGUAUAUAUACUAUAUAUACUACUAAGUAUAUAUGUAUAAAUUUAUUACAUUUAUUGUAACUGUCAUUACAGACGAGGUAAUACGGGCUAUCCAUCAGAUUACGUGAUACACACAUGAAGUACCUGUGGCUAUACGAUAGUUAAUCGAUAUCAGUGUAUAGUCUCAUUUUUCAUAGUUAUUUAUUGCCUUUUUCUAAAUCUAAUUUUUAUAUUCAUGGAUGUACAAAGAUACACACGUUUACAAAAAAAAUAAAUAUUUUAUUUGUUUUCUGAAAAAAAUUAAAAAUUCAAGAAAAUGCGAAAGGGUGUCGUGAUCGACUCAAAUUCAUCUCGCGUUCGACCGGUUGGCUACCCCUGAUGUAGACUAUAAUAUUGUUUAAUUUAUAUUUGUUUAGAUUAGAUGUCUACAUUUUAUAUAUAAAAUGAUCAAAGCACUGACAAAAGUGUCUAAUGCUACUACAGUAGCAAAUAGGUACAUAUCGUUACGUCCACGUAAACAACACGUAUCUCCAUGAAAUGGUUAGGAAAUUCCACGUAUAUUUUUACCAAUAACACCAAAUACCAAAUAAAUUAGGGUCCGGGAUUUAAAUAAAAAAAGGUGGGUAAGUGGAUUUCGCUCUGCUAUAAAGUAGGUUACAAAUGGGUCACUGUAAUGGAUGGUGUUUAAUUUGAAUUCAAUGAUAUAAUAUUAUUGUAUAUAAGAAAAACGAUUCUGAGCGAAAACAGUCAGUCAGCCUAUGAUAUUACCAAGUAUAUUUGAUGAUAUUAUUGUGAAUAAAGUAAUUUAUAUAUAACCUAUUUACGUGGAGCCUUAUUUUCAACUUUCAAUCCUUAGCUAUAAAAGUUGAACAUUUUAUACAAUUUUAACUACAAAAUAAUUAUUAAAUUUUAAAUUUGAUAAAUUUUGUCAAAAUUUGAACUUUAAAUGCUUAUAAAAAAAAACUGUGCGUAUGUAUUUUUAAUAUUUAUCAACUGCUGUUGUAACAAUAUAUCA